rnacentral:rRNA from 1 species
AAUCCAUAGGUUAAUGAGGCGAACCGGGGGAACUGAAACAUCUAAGUACCCCGAGGAAAAGAAAUCAACCGAGAUUCCCCCAGUAGCGGCGAGCGAACGGGGAGGAGCCCAGAGCCUGAAUCAGCAUGUGUGUUAGUGGAAGCGUCUGGAAAGGCGCGCGAUACAGGGUGACAGCCCCGUACACAAAAGCGCAUGUGCUGUGAGCUCGAUGAGUAGGGCGGGACACGUGGUAUCCUGUCUGAAUAUGGGGGGACCAUCCUCCAAGGCUAAAUACUCCUGACUGACCGAUAGUGAACCAGUACCGUGAGGGAAAGGCGAAAAGAACCCCGGCGAGGGGAGUGAAAAAGAACCUGAAACCGUGUACGUACAAGCAGUGGGAGCCCCACCACUAAGCCAGUGGUGAACUCCACAUACGCAUCCUUUGCUGAGGAUACGGUUAACGGAGCGAAAGCGACGUUCAACCGCAAAAGAAGCAGAGGGGGCUUAGUGGUGGGGU